AAUGAACGUUGGCGGCGUGGAUUAGGCAUGCAAGUCGUGCGAUAACCCCGCAAGGGGGGAAAGCGGCGAAAGGGAGAGUAACGCGUGGGUACCUGCCCCUUGGUCCGGAAUAGCUGCGGGAAACUGCAGGUAAUGCCGGAUAAUAUCCUCGGAUCAAAGGUGUGAUUCCGCCGAGGGAGGGGCCCGCGUUCUAUUAGCUAGUUGGUAGGGUAAUGGCCUACCGAGGCGACGAUGGAUACCGGGCGUGAGAGCAUGACCCGGCUCACUGGGACUGGGACACUGCCCAGACACCGACGGGUGGCUGCAGUCGAGAAUCUUCGGCAAUGGGCGCAAGCCUGACCGAGCGACGCCGCGUGCGGGAUGAAGGCCUUCGGGUUGUAAACCGCUGUCGUAGAGGAGGAAAUGCCAUGGGGUUCUCUCCAUGGUUUGACCUAUUCUAGGAGGAAGGACGGGCUAAGUUCGUGCCAGCAGCCGCCGUAA
rnacentral:rRNA from 1 species